GAUGAACGCUGGCGGCGUGCCUAACACAUGCAAGUCGAGCGGACGGACGCGAAGCUUGUGUCUCUGAUGUUAGCGGCGGGCGGGUGUGUAACGCGUGGAUCACCUACCUAUAUGUCUGGGAUCACUUCGGGACACCGGCGCUAAUACGGGAUGAUAUUUUGCACCGCAGGGUUCAAAAGUGAAUGACGGCCUUGCUGUCAGGUAUAGCGGGUUCCGGGCUGCUUUAGCUAGUUGGUAGGGUAACGGCUUACCAAGGCAACGAUGCAUAGCCGACCUGAGAGGGUGAUCGGCCACACUGGAACUGAGCCACGGACCAGAGUCCUACGGGAGGCAGCAGUAGGGAAUCUCCCGCAAUGGGCGAAAGCCUGACGGAGCAACGCCGCGUGAGUGAUGAAGGCCUUCGGAUCGUAAAGCCCUGUUAUGAGGGAAGAACAGCUGUGUCAGUAACUGUGCACAUCGUGACGGUACCUAAUCAGAAAGCAACGGCUAACUACGUG
rnacentral:rRNA from 1 species